AAUCAACGCUGGCGGCGUGCCUCAGACAUGCAAGUCGAACGAUUAAAGCUCUCUUCGGAGAGUGUAUAGAGUGGCGCACGGGUGAGUAACACGUAAGUAAUCUACCUUCGAGUGGGGAAUAACACCGAGAAAUCGGUGCUAAUACCGCAUAAUGCAGCGGCAUCGCAAGAUGACAGUUGUUAAAGAUUUAUCGCUUGAAGAGGAGCUUGCGGCAGAUUAGCUAGUUGGUAAGGUAAUGGCUUACCAAGGCUACGAUCUGUAACCGGUCUAAGAGGACGGUCGGUCACACUGACACUGAAUAACGGGUCAGACUCCUACGGGAGGCAGCAGUCGGGAAUUUUGGGUCAAUGGGCGAAAGCCUGACCCAGCAACGCCGCGUGAAGGAUGAAGUAUUUCGGUAUGUAAACUUCGAAAGAAUGGAAGAAUAAAUGACGGUACCAUUUAUAAGGUCCGGCUAACUACGUGCCAGCCGCCGC
rnacentral:rRNA from 1 species